GACGAACGCUGGCGGCGUGCUUAACACAUGCAAGUCGAACGGAAAGGCCCCUUUGGGGGUACUCGAGUGGCGAACGGGUGAGUAACACGUGAGUAACCUGCCCUUGACUUCGGGAUAACUUCAGGAAACUGGGGCUAAUACCGGAUAGGAAUCCUUGCUGCAUGGUGGGGGUUGGAAAGCUUCGGCGGUUUUGGAUGGACUCGCGGCUUAUCAGCUUGUUGGUGGGGUAGUGGCUUACCAAGGCUUUGACGGGGUAGCCGGCCUGAGAGGGCGACCGGCCACAUUGGGACUGAGAUACGGCCCAGACUCCUACGGGAGGCAGCAGUGGGGAAUAUUGCACAAUGGGCGGAAGCCUGAUGCAGCAACGCCGCGUGCGGGAUGACGGCCUUCGGGUUGUAAACCGCUUUCAGCAGGGGCGAAGCUUGUGGUGACGGUACCUGCAGAAGAAGCACCGGCUAACUACGUG
rnacentral:rRNA from 1 species